AGCGAACGCUGGCGGCAGGCCUAACACAUGCAAGUCGAACGGUAGCACAGUAAGAGCUUGCGCUUACGUGUGGCGAGUGGCGGACGGGGGAGGAAUACAUCGGAACCUACUUUUUCGUGGGGGAUAACGCCGGGAAACUUACGCUAAUACCGCAUAUGACCUACGGGUGAAAGCAGGGGUUCUUGGGACCUUGUGUGUCUGUAUGAGCCGAUCUCGGAUUAGCUGGUUGGCGGGGUAGAGGCCCACCAAGGCGACGAUCGGUAGCUGGUCGGACGGGAUGGUCGGCCACACUGGAGGUGAGGAGCGUCCGCGACUCCUACGAGGGGCAGCAGUGGUGAAUAUUAGGGAAUGGGGGCAAGCCGGAUCCAGCCAUACCGCGUCGGGGGAGAUGGAGUUCGGGUUGUUGAGCCCUUUUGUUGGGAGAGAAGAACAGCAGGUUAAUACGCCGCUGUUCUGACGGUACCCGGAGAAUAAGCACCGGCUAACUUCGUG
rnacentral:rRNA from 1 species